GGUCUGAGGGACAGUGAACUGGCCCCCUGUUUAAAAAGUUCGAGGACCCCUGCUCUAGAUGAUUGUUUCUGUGCCCUUACAAGGGGUUGUUCUAAAGAGGAGUUGAUCUGCACCUGUGGAUGUGGGCCAAAUUCAACAGAAUUGAAUUUCCCUCCACGGCCCACAGGCUGUGAAGAAAUGGUUUAGUUUGGGUAGCACUGCAUAGGAGAGAGACUGGACUGAGGAGGAGAGCAUCUCUGACAAUUUGUUCUCCUGAUCUUUGGCAAGUUGGACUUAGUGCUUAUGGCGUGUGAGGCACUGUUGUAAGUGCUUUAUACCUGUUAGUGAAAUCCUCACCCUAACCCUAUCAGGUACAGCUGAUACUUGUUGUUUGUGGUAGUUAUGUUCUAUAAAGCCACCUGGAACACUUAAUUAGUGAAUAUUGAACCAUUGUUCCUAGAGGACAUAUAGGGUUAGGCUUCUGCAAGCUGAUUGCAAGAUUAGAUUUCUGACAGCUGAUCAAUAUACAACCUUGUUUUAUGUGUUUCUGCUUAAAGACACCUUAUUUAAUAUGUUGAUUCAUUAAUAUUGACCUCACAGCCAAUAGCACUAUAUCUCACGUCUGAACGAAGCCUAUGUGUUUAACAUGUAUGUCAGCACUAGCACUAUGCUUGGGGGACAUUCUAAAGAGUGAGAUUACCAACAAAAAGAACAAAAAAGCAAAAACAAAACAGUGACACUGAAUAGGUCACAAAAAGGACACCUGUCUCCAGUCUGAGAACUGAAGCAGGAAGGCAAUGUGUUGCCUGUUUCACCUUGGCUGAGCAUGUGGCCUUGGGCAGCUCUGUAUUUUGUGACGCUCUGUGCAUAUUCACGAAUGACCUCGAAAACAUCACUAGUAUUGAUUUUGGGGUUACAGGUAAAUCUUAGUGCGUGGGAGAAUUUGCUAGUACAGAAUCUGUGAAUAAUGAGGGUUGACUGUAAUUACGCCUGUAAUCCCCACUGGGUGGUUAGAGAAACUGAGGCACAGAGAACUUCAGUAUCUUGCUCUAAGGCACACAUGGCUGAGCUGGGAUUCACAUCCUGUUAUAUUACAAUGCCGUGGAAAGAGUAGAGCCCUUCUGGUACACAGAGACGUGUGUAACUAGAUGCUUAUAUGCUGUGUGCUAGAAAUUGUGUUUGAAGUAUGAGACUUUCUGAAGAAACACCUUUUCCUGUAUUGAGGCUGGCGAAACCAGGUGCCAGUGGGAAAGAAGGAUAGGCGUAAGGGAGGGCUUGUAACAUUUAAAAGGGGAUCACCACCAGCUCUAGAAGUACAGUAAUCUUUUACAUUUGUGGAGUUUUCCAUUUCAGCGUGGACUCACAUGACCUUUAUGCUGAUCAAAUCAUCUUCUACCGUUGGAAGGGCUCUUAAAAAAUGUCGGUGAAUGUGUUAGUGUCAGUGACAUCUCUCAGACUGGGGCCCAGAUGGCCUGACUUUCCCCCCACAACAUGCUGUUGGGUUUCUUGGAGCCAGGUCUCUGAGCAGAUUGGGAAGAGCUGGCUCACCUCAUCCCUGCAGAAACCUGCAGUUUGCAACGCCGGUAGCUCUGGGGCCAGACACAGGGGCACAAAAGGCUAUUACUGUAGGAAGGUGCCCUGGGCUGAAAGAAUCCCCUUCCAAGCUCGGCACUUCUUCCUUCUUGAAAGACAGAGGAGGGAUGGGGAGGGCCAGAGGGCCGUGGAUGCUAUUCCUUGAACAGGGCCUCAGGCCCAAUAGUAGGAGCUGAGUGCUGUACAGGAAACCAACUGUUCAAAAGUCACAAGGAUGACUUUUAAAGGUUUUCUUCCCAGGCAAACCACAGCAUCCCUGUUCUCUUUUUAUGACUUGCAUUAGUCAGUCUUAGUGACAUUGGAAGUUCCCCAGAACUUAUACAUCAUGUGAUCUAGGUUUCCUGAAACCUUUUAUUCUCUAGAUAUCUUGAAGUGAUUGUAUUACUACACCUUUGUUUAAAAAGUAAAUUCUGAUUAAGUGUUGGGUAAAAUAGUAUAUUCUGUUAAUGGGUGAAGUCCUUUUUAGUCUGGUUAAUAAAUAUUUGUUUCGUGCUUAGUAUAUACCACACACUCUAUGCUUUUGUGCACCUUUAGAAAGUAAUUUUAGUGAGACAGUGUGUAUCCAAAGACAGUGUGUAUGUCUUAAAGAGCCCCUAAACUGUUUGACAGUGUCCUGAAUUACUUCUUACUUAGCCUUAAAAAAAAACAACCUUUUGAAAACCUGUGUUUGUGUGUGUGAUAUCACAGACGACAAACAUACAAAAGUCCGUACUGUGUAAAGAACAAGUAUAAGUGAGACUCCUGUAACCGCCUCCCAGGGUAAGAGAUAGCUAUUGCCAGCCCCUUAUCUGCUUCCUGAUCACAUGUAGACCUUUGUGGUACUCAUUUCCUUGUCUUUCUCUCCAGCUUUACCUAUAUGUGCACCUUAAAGAUGAGCUUUAGUUUUGCCUAAUUUUAACUUCUCAUAAAUGAGAUCAAACUGCGUGCUCUCGUCUGACUCACUUUGUUUGCCCCACUUGGUGAGAUUCGUCCAUGUUGCUGUGUGUAGCUUAGUUCUUUUAUUGCUUUAUAGUGUAUUCCAUUUUGUUCAUGCGUCCUGCUGUUGGUGGACUGUUGGGUGGUUUCCAGUUGGAAGCUAUUUGGCAUGGUUUAGAUUUCAAAGUCAGCACGGAAGGAGAAAUUAAUGGUUCAUCCUUCAGCCAUCCUGGCCUCCUCCUGGUCCCUCAGAUGUACCAAACACACCCCUGUCUCAGGGCCUUUGUGCUUCCCGUCCUCCCUGCCUAGAAUAUUCUUCUUCUAGUUACCUGCAUGGGUAGCUCCCUCACUUUACUCAGAUCUCUGCUCAAAGCCAUUGUAGCAGAAGGCUCUUCCCUGACCCCGCUCCCUUAUUCUCUGUGCAUUUCUGCAUGGUCCUGAUCGUCAUCUGACAUGAGCAGACGUGCUCAUCAUCUGCUUCCUCCCACAAGACCGCACGCCCGACCUUCACACAUUUAAACAGCUGAAAAUGUUAAGAGCUCAUCUGUGAGCCCGAAGACACAGAUUCCAGCCUCAUCUCUACAGUUCAGAGCCCUGGGAACUUGGAAAGCAAGAGUUCUUUCGUUCAGCAAAUAUUUAUUGAUCAUUCACUAUGUGCCAGGCGCUCCUCUAAGUCCUUGAAAUACAUCACUGAGCACAAUAGAUACAGAUCCCUGUCCUCGAGGGGCUUCUAUUCUAGUGGUGGUGCUGGGAGCACAAUAAACAGUAAACAUAGUAAGUAAACUAGGAGAUUAGUGGCUGUAUAGGAAACAGAACAGGUAGAGCAGGGAAGGGGGCAUGUUUGCAAUUUUAAGUAGAUUAGGGCAGGCCUUGGUGAGGAGGUGGUGUUUAAAGAAAGAUUUGAAGGCGGGGAAGGAGUGAGGCAAAUAAGUGUCUGGAGAAAAGCAUUAUAAACAGAUGGGUCAGCUGGUGCAGGGGUCACACUCUGAGGUCACAGUGAGACUGCUGGACUCAGGGAACAGCAGAGAGGCCAGAGAGCUCGAGGUGUCAUGGCCAGCCUGUGGACCACUGCAGGACUUUGACUUGUACUGGAGGUCAAAUGGGAGCCACUGGAGGGUUUUGAGCUGAUGGAUGACAUGAUCUGAUUUACACAUUAAAAGAACCGCUUUGGCUGCUGUGUUAAGAAUAGAGUUGGUGGGAGGCAACAGGAGAAAGAAGUAGAUGAGUGAAAAAAAUUUGCAGGAAUUCUUGAGUAAGACAUGAGAAACCUUGGCUCUGGGUGUGGUGGUAGAGGUGGGUAUGUUUAGAACGUAGAGCUGAUAGGAUUUUCUGAUGGAUAGGGUGCAUGGGGAGGGAGUUGGGGGUGACUUCCAGGGUCUUGGCCUGAGCCGUGGGAGGGGGGUGGCAUGGCCAUCAUCUGAGCGGGGAGCCUGCUGGUGUUGGCGUUAGUGGGAAGAUCAAGGGCUCAGUUGGGACCACCUAGAGCUUGCGUGGUCUGUGAGACAUCCAAGUGGAGAUGGCAAGUCUGAAAUUUGGGAGAGAAGUCUGAGCCAGGGAGACAGGUAUGGGUUUGGGAAUCUUCCUCAUGUAGAUGACACUUAAAGACAUGAGACUGGAUGAAACAACCAGGAGUGAGUGUAAGCAGGGAGGAGACCAAGGGCUCAUCUUCCUGAGCCCAGCGUUUGCUCAGCUGGACAAGAUAAAAGCCAUGGCUGCCCCGCCUGCCUCACAGGGCGCCUGUCAGGACCCUCUGCAAGCUGUGGGAGCAGAGUUCAGAUGA